GAGACCAGGCCUGAUGGCAACUGAUAGGAGUAUCUUCUCCCACUGAGAAGAAAGGGUGGAAAGGGGUCUUAAGACAGGAGUUGGGGAGGUUCAUUGAUAGAGCUUUAAAGUAGGUACGAAGGGGGGUGGGGGUGUAACUAGGGUCACUAGAAUGAAGCCUGUAUGUAACGUGCUAGUGCUUGUAGGAGAGGGAUGUGCUAGUAAGAUCCCACAGUCUUGUGUCUUGGUGAAGGAGGAGGACAACUCACCCUUUUGUAGGAAAAACACAAGCGUUGGUGUGAGGUUGGUGGCUGUGCAAACACCUGAGUAUGGUCAUGAAGGUAUUAGGGCUACUGCCACUCCAAAGGAGGCACAGUUCAGGUGCUUUUACACCAAUGCACGCAGCAUGGGUAAUAAACAGGAGGAGCUGGAGGCCAUUGUGCGGUCAGAAAGCAAUGAUAUAGUUGCCAUCACAGAAACAUGGUGGAAUGACUCACAGCUGGAGUUCUGUGAUGGAUGGCUACCAACUUUUCAAAAGACAUAGGCAAGGCAGGAAAGGCAGUGGUGUAGGCCUCUAUGUUAAGAAAGAAUGUGAAUGUAUGGAAAUUAAUGAUGGUGAUGAUAGGGUGGAGAGCUUAUGGGUCAGAAUAAAAGCAAAGGCUAAUAAGUCUGACAUUACUGUGGGAGUCUGCUAUAGGCCACCCAACCAGGAGGAAGAGGUGGACAAGACACUUUAUAGACAGUUGGGUGAGGUCUCAAGGUCUCAAGGUCUCUCCCCCUAGUUCUUGUGGGGGACUUCAACUUCCUAGACAUCUGCUGGAUUUAUAAUACAGCAGAUAGGGAACAGUUCCAGAGGUUCCUAGAGUGUGUGGGAAAUAACUUCCUGACACAGCUGGUGAGGGAGCCAAUGAGGGGAAGCAAAAUCUUGGACCUGCUGUUUGUUAACAGAGAAGGUCUUGUGGGGGAUGUAAAGGUUGGAGGCCAUCUGGGACAUAGUGAUCACGAGAUGCUAGAUUUCUUGAUCCUUGUUAAACCACUAAGGGGAGUCAGCAGAACGGCCACCUUGGACUUCUGGAGGGGAGACUUCAAUCUCUUUAGGACCGUGGUUGAGACGGUCCCUUGGGAGGUAGUUUUGGAGAGCAUAGGAGCCCGGGAAGGCUGGGAAUACUUUAAGGAAGUAAUUUUAAAGGUGCAGGAGCUGACCAUGCCCAAGUCAGACCAUCCCCAAGGAAAAUAAGUCAACAGGCAAGAAGGCCAGACUAGUCGAACAGAGACCUUUGGCUGGAUCUCAAGAGCAAAAGGAAAGUUUAUGGUCUUUGGAAGAGUGGGCAAGCUACUCAUGAUAAUUACAGGUAAGUAGUGAAGCUGUGCAAGGAGAAAAUUAGAAAAGCCAAAACCCAGCUAAAACUGAACUUGGCCACUGAGGUAAAGGGCAACAACAAAUAUUACUAUAAGUAUACCAACAGCAAGAGGGGGGCUAGGGAGAACCUCCAUCCCUUGUUG
ensembl:lncRNA